UGCUGAAGUUGCAUAAUAACGACUGAUCUGUCUCAUCACCGAUUAUUACGGCAAUUACGUUUUUUCGCUUAUAAACUCUUCGACGUUGUAAAUAAUCUAUGCUUACCAGGUUUUCGGUUUACGAGCAGUUUGAGGAGAAAACGAGAAUGUAAGCAGUCAUAGUUUGCUACUAGUACAGCUUUCUUUUCAAAACAAGGGGUGUUGCCAUAACUAUGACGUAACUAAACAUGGCAGGGGAAAGUUGUUUAAACUAAGUCAUGAAAGCAAACUCUAGUAUGUAAACAAACAUUUCUUGUAUGUGCUGCUGCGUGCGUGUUCAAAAUUUUACUUUGAUGAAGGGGUCCCUAUUAUCAUGACAUUCUUCAGUGACUCGACCUUGUGCUCCGUUGCCACCCUGCACUUGUCCAGACAUGUUUUUAUGUGCACCUUACAUGUGUUCACAAUAUGACAGUUUUAUUGUGCCAAUCAAUGCUAUAAGUUAACACACUACUCAUUUUGCAGUGGUGAGACCGUGACCCUAUAGCAGUGUCAACAUAAUGGCAGGGAAAUGCAGGGAUCCCGCAGCCAUGGCUACAGCAGGACAGGGUGUAAUCUGGAUGUCAUGUCAGACCUGAAGCCUACAGCUUCAGAUUGUGCGCUUGACUGUCAAGCCUUGUGAAGGAGAGGAUGGAGGCUUUUAUUUCCCCUUACGUAAGAUUAUAUGUAACUUGCAUGCUGAUAAUAGACCUGUUGCAUGGACCACUCAUCUACAGCGUGCCUCAUAAUCAUGUGUUGGCUUUGACACUUACAACCCUAUCAUUUAUUUUUGCAGCACCCGGAUGCGUCACAUCAUAUGCCUACGGUGAAAUACGAGGGAACUAGCCUGCUGCAAGCAAGAGCCCUCCAUGUACAGCUCGAAUCGAUCAAGAUUGACGAAGAUGACCUUGUAUCUGGCCUUUCCAUGCAGAUUGCCCUUUACUGGAUAUUCGACAUUGUUUUUGCACCAAAGGCACAAAGAACAUUUGACCAUACGCCACGUGGUCGGUGUUAACAGUGGUGUGUGGCCAACUCCACUUGUGCGCGUGUCACACACGUUGCUACUGUAAAAAAUAAAAAUAAAGUGUUCUAUU